AUUGAACGCUGGCGGCAUGCUUUACACAUGCGAGUCGAACGGCAGCGCGGGCUUCGGCCUGGCGGCGAGUGGCGAACGGGUGAGUAAUGCAUCGGAACGUGCCCAGUAGUGGGGGAUAGCCCGGCGAAAGCCGGAUUAAUACCGCAUACGACCUGAGGGUGAAAGCGGGGGACCGAAAGGCCUCGCGCUAUUGGAGCGGCCGAUGUCGGAUUAGCUAGUUGGUGGGGGAAAGGCUUACCAAGGCGACGAUCCGUAGCUGGUCUGAGAAGACGACCAGCCACACUGGGACUGAGACACGGCCCAGACUCCUACGGGAGGCAGCAGUGGGGAAUUUUGGACAAUGGGGGCAACCCUGAUCCAGCCCUGCCGCGUGCGGGAAGAAGGCCUUCGGGUUGUAAACCGCUUUUGUUCGGGAAGAAAUCCUCUUGGCUAAUACCCCGGGGGGAUGACGGUACCGGAAGAAUAAGCACCGGCUAACUACGUG
rnacentral:rRNA from 1 species